rnacentral:rRNA from 1 species
GACGAACGCUGGCGGCGUGCUUAACACAUGCAAGUCGAACGAUGAUCAGGAGCUUGCUCCUGUGAUUAGUGGCGAACGGGUGAGUAACACGUGAGUAACCUGCCCCUGACUCUGGGAUAAGCGUUGGAAACGACGUCUAAUACUGGAUACGACUGCCGGCCGCAUGGUCUGGUGGUGGAAAGAUUUUUUGGUUGGGGAUGGACUCGCGGCCUAUCAGCUUGGUGGUGAGGUAAUGGCUCACCAAGGCGACGACGGGUAGCCGGCCUGAGAGGGUGACCGGCGACACUGGGACUGAGACACGGCCCAGACUCCUACGGGAGGCAGCAGUGGGGAAUAUUGCACAAUGGGCGAAAGCCUGAUGCAGCAACGCCGCGUGAGGGAUGACGGCCUUCGGGUUGUAAACCUUUUUUAGUAGGGAAGAAGCGAAAGUGACGGUACCUGCAGAAAAAGCACCGGCCAACUACGUGCCAGCCGCCGCGGUAA